AACGAACGCUGGCGGCAGGCUUAACACAUGCAAGUCGAGCGCCCCGCAAGGGGAGCGGCAGACGGGUGAGUAACGCGUGGGAAUCUACCCAUCUCUACGGAAUAACGCAUGGAAACGUGUGCUAAUACCGUAUACGUCCUUCGGGAGAAAGAUUUAUCGGAGAUGGAUGAGCCCGGGUUAGAUUAGCUAGUUGGUGGGGUAAAGGCCUACCAAGGCGACGAUCCAUAGCUGGUCUGAGAGGAUGAUCAGCCACACUGGGACUGAGACACGGCCCAGACUCCUACGGGAGGCAGCAGUGGGGAAUAUUGGACAAUGGGCGCAAGCCUGAUCCAGCCAUGCCGCGUGAGUGAUGAAGGCCCUAGGGUUGUAAAGCUCUUUUACCGGUGAAGAUAAUGACGGUAACCGGAGAAGAAGCCCCGGCUAACUUCGUGCCAGCCGCCGCCGUAACAC
rnacentral:rRNA from 1 species